rnacentral:siRNA from 1 species
AUGGUGCUAUAUUCUUUAUUUCAU